GUUACGUGAUGGUCUGCCAUCUUCAGUCUGAUCAGUUAGUCAGACAGCUCCACCUGGUUGACCUGCAGAAGUCCUGGAACGAUGCUCAGCAAUACUGCAGAGAUGAGUACAUCGACCUCGCCAUCGUUAACAGCUCAGCUCUCAUCCAGGAAGCCCAGAAAAGGGCGGGGAGCACAGAGGCGUGGAUUGGACUCUUCAAGAGCGACUGGAAAUGGUCUCAAACUGGUCCAGUUCAGUCAUCCUGGUUAAAUUUCUGGUUCCCGGGACAGCCAGGGACUGAUGAGUGUGUUACGAUAACUGGAUUUGGAUCAUGGUCCACAAGACCGUGCUCAGCUACUUAUCCCUUUGUCUGCUAUGACGGUGAGUGUUUCAGACUUUGGUACCAGGGUUUGACAAACUGAACAUUUUAGCUGCAGGUUUGAAUCCGUCUGAUCGUUUGUUUCAGCUGCGAAUAACAGUCACAUCCUGGUGACAAACUCAAUGACCUGGUCUGAUGCUCAGUCUUACUGCAGACAGACGUACACGGACCUGAGCACCAUCACCGACUGGUCGGACAACAGCCAGAUAGCUUUUAUGUUGCCAACUACUGUUGAUGCCUGGAUUGGACUGUACAGAAACUGGAUGUGGUCCAACUCGAGCACAGCCUCCAACCUGCCGUGGGGGCCCGGGCAGCCUGAUAACAGCGUAAACUGUGCCACAAUAGUCGGAUCAAUGGGCUCCUUCAACAGUCAUAACUGUGGUGACCAACGCCCCUUCCUCUGCUCCAGAGGUGAGUCUGUCCUCUGUGUUUCUGCACAGUCUGGUCCUCCUGGGCUCAUCGGCCUUUUCUUUCUCUGCAGAUGUCAAACCUUCAGCCUCGAGGUCAGUGAAGGUUCAGCUGAGGGCGGGAUCUGCAGACCUGAACGACCCCACAGUGCAAGAAUCCAUCCUGCAGCAGGUGAGGGAGAAGCUGGUGGAGCAAGGGAUCAGAGAGGAGGUGAAGCUGAGGUGGAGGACGCAGCCUGAUGGGAAGAUUUUCCACAGAGAGGAGGAGACAGCCGGUGACAGUGAGGAGGAAGACUGUGGGACGGUUAUGACUGACAGUUGAAAAUAAUCCUUCUUUAUCCUAAGCUCAGAUCACAGAGUGUCUGAUGAGCUGUUUUAUGCCUCUUUGUUUCUUCUGUGUCUCAGAUAUAAAUGUUCAUGAUAUCCUGUCUCUACAUAUGAAAGUUCAAGCGGAGAACAAAGUGAACCUGAGUGUUCAGAGCAGUCUGAUGUCUGAGCUUUUUGACUUCAUACAUCAUAUUUCAAAUGAGCACCCAGCAAUAUAACAGUAGAUAUGCCGUAUAUGUCAGUGAAUGGGACAUUUAUGCUCUCUAUUGUGAUAUUAAAUAUACAUUUUUCUGUAAAAGUCUCAGAAAUGUCUCUGCUGAUGUUUGACUCUGUAAACUACAGUGAUGGCUCUGCAUCCAUCUUCAUUGUAAACUCUAUUCAAUAAAGUCUAUUCAUAUUUUAUUGUCCCUGUCAGAACUUUCAGUUGCUUCAUUUUUAUGCUCUUAUUUUGAAUUUGAUGCCAGUAACACACAUCAUAAAGGCUGAGACAACAUGAAGUUUAAUGCUAAAAAAUAAGACGUCUCACAUACAGUGAAGCUGAUUGGCAGGACAGCAGUCACAUGACUGGCUAUGAAAUCCCAGACAGACAAUCCAACAGUUUAUGAAACAUCUGAAUGUAAAAUGCUGAAAACUUCUGCUGCUCAUCUGUUCACAGAAGAAUCUGUGAAAGCGACGAGACAGCUGUGUGACGGUCAUUUUCAAAAUAAAUUCAGAUCAAAUAUUUUCUGUUUUAAAACACAAAGUGUUUCACAGUCUGAUAAAACUCCACAUUAAGACCAGAGUACCUGUCCACACAGCGGUGCAUUCACUGCUGCACACACACUUACACACACACACAUUAGAGGAACAAAAGCCAAAAACAACAGGAAACAGAUUCAAGCUAAUCUAUAAAAUGAGUUUUCAGCAGUCGUUUAAGACAAACUGCAGACUGAGCUGCCCUGACAUGGACAUGGCUGAUGUGUUUACAGAUGCAUGUCUUUAUUUUUCCUUUUCAUAAUGAUCAUGUGUUUUGAAUAAUUGUAUUGUUUGUUAUAUUUUCUCUUUUACCGGGAGGGGCUUUCAUGAGAAUGACAUAAAGUAAAUGAUGGGCUGAGGAAAGCUGUCCCAAAGUUGGGAGCUAUGACUCUGGCUCGGUUUAGUCUGCCCACCAGGAAGUGACUGAUCAGCUGAUUUUUAAUGGCUGAUGUUCACAGGUUGAUUUGACUCUUUUUUAUCUUUAAAAAAUGCUCGUUUUGUUGGACAAUAACAUUUUUGUUAUUCAGUAGAAAAAGUCUGAGUGGUAAUGAUGGAGUUUUACUUCAGGACUUCAUCGUUGUUACUGAAAAUGUGUUACUGACCAACCCUUCACCUCCACAGUAACAGUUUAAGACCACGCAUGGCACCAAACCUUCACAUCACACUACAAGAAUAAAGACGAUGUAGUGUGCAUCCUGGUAACUGUGGCUUGUUUACAGAUUAAUAUACAGGGUGGGCCAUUUAUAUGGAUACACCGUAAUAACAUGGGAAUGGUUGGUGAUAUUAAGGUCCUGUUUGUGGCACAUUAGUAUAUGUGAGGGGGAAAACUCCUCAAGAUGGGUGGUGACCAUGGUGGCCAUUUAGAAGUCGGCCAUCUUGGAUACACCGUUUGUUUUUUCAAUAGGAAGAGGGCCAUGUGACACAUCAAACUUAUUGGUAAUGUCACAAGAAAAACAAUGGUGUGCUUGGUUUAGACGUAACUUUAUUCUUUUAUGAGUUAUUUACAAGUUUCU
rnacentral:lncRNA from 1 species